GGAGAGGUGCCAGAGUGGUCGAAUGGGCCUGAUUCGAAAUCAGGUGUGCGGUCUCCCGUACCGUGGGUUCGAAUCCCACCCUCUCCGCCA
rnacentral:tRNA from 1 species